rnacentral:rRNA from 1 species
CGAUGCGAUCAUACCAGCACUAAAGCACCGGAUCCCAUCAGAACUCCGAAGUUAAGCGUGCUUGGGCGAGAGUAGUACUAGGAUGGGUGACCUCCUGGGAAGUCCUCGUGUUGCACUCC